CAUAUCAAUAAGCGGAGGAAAAGAAACCAACCGGGAUUGCCUCAGUAACGGCGAGUGAAGCGGCAAGAGCUCAAAUUUGAAAGCUGGCUCCUUCGGGGUCCGCAUUGUAAUUUGCAGAGGAUGCUUCGGGUGCGGCCCCUGUCUAAGUGCCCUGGAACGGGCCGUCAGAGAGGGUGAGAAUCCCGUCUGGGAUGGGGUGUCCGCGCCCGUGUGAAGCUCCUUCGACGAGUCGAGUUGUUUGGGAAUGCAGCUCUAAAUGGGUGGUAAAUUUCAUCUAAAGCUAAAUACUGGCCGGAGACCGAUAGCGCACAAGUAGAGUGAUCGAAAGAUGAAAAGCACUUUGAAAAGAGAGUUAAAAAGCACGUGAAAUUGUUGAAAGGGAAGCGCUUGCGACCAGACUCGCCUCCAGGGUUCAGCCGGCAUUCGUGCCGGUGUACUUCCCUGGGGGCGGGCCAGCGUCGGUUUGGGCGGCCGGUCAAAGGCUCCCGGAAUGUAGUGCCCUCCGGGGCACCUUAUAGCCGGGAGUGCAAUGCGGCCAGCCUGGACCGAGGAACGCGCUUCGGCACGGACGCUGGCAUAAUGGUCGUAAACGAC
rnacentral:rRNA from 1 species